rnacentral:lncRNA from 1 species
CCUCAGACCCCAGCCCACACAGCUGGGGAAGGAGACAGAAUGUGCCAGACAGAUAGAUCCCAGCCCAGGUCCCCCACGUUGACCACACCCCUUGUGACAUCCCUGCAGGCAGGACCCAGCUGUCCCCUUGGCCAGGCACACUGGGCACAGGCUCAGAUGGCCUCGAGGCCAGCACCCAGCACACGCAGGUGUGUCCUGUGCGCACCGGAGCCUGCUCUCCUGCAGGCACAGCCAGGAGGAGCUGAACAGGACUUGGCGGUUGAUCAACUGCUUCCUCUUUCUGCAUAAACAUCCCUGUCUGUCAGAUGCACACUGCCAUCAUGCCCAUUUCAGACAGGAAGGAGGGGAGACUGAGGCUCAGAAAGGCGGGGGCUCCCAGGGGGUGCCAGAGUGAGCGGGAAGACAAGUCAGGAUCUGUCUCUGCCUCGGGCCCCCCUUGUCCUCGCUCUGUCACCAGCCCUCAACCCCUGCUGCUACCUGCCCUUGCUCAUCAUCACCAGAUCCCCAACCUGCCCCCACCCAGGUCCCUCUUGGCUUCCCUUUCACUCCCCUGUGUCCACCAGCCCACCUGCCCAAGGGCUCUGUGAACACUGGCCACUCCCGCCCUCUCUUUGCAUCCUGACUCUCAUCCCCGGGGGCUGAGCCAUGAAGAGGAAUUCACGGGCACCUGACAUGCUGGGCCAUGGGUGUGAUUACCUUGUGCAGGGAGCUGCCUGGGACACCAAGGGAUGAGGUGGCCUGUGUGCUGACCCGGCCACCCACCACAUCCACACAAUCCCAGGACUGGCCGGGGUGCUCUGCUCCAUGCAUGUGUGCAUGCAAAGACACCUCAGUCAUGUACUGUUCUUUGUAACCCCAUGGACUGUAGCCUACCAGGUCCCUCUGUCUGCAGGUUUCUCCAGGCAAGAAUACUGAAGUGGGUUGCCAUUCCCUCCUCCAAGAGAUCUUCCUGAUCCAAGGAUCAAACCUGAGUCUCUUGCAUCUCCUGCACUGGCAGGCGGAUUCUUUACCUAAACGAGUCAUCUAGGAAGUAUUCACUUAAAUAUGGAUGUACAUGUGUUUUUUUCAGGUUCUUUUCACAUUCAGUUUAUUACGGAGGGCUGCAUAGGACCCCUUGUGCUAUAGAGUGGGUCCUUUUUUAUUAUAUUUUUAUAAAUAGUAGAGUGUGUAUGUUAAUCAGAACCAGCUAAUUUCUCCCUGCUCCCCCAUCAUUUUUCCUGUUAGGAAAGCCUGUUUCUGUUUCUGUGAGCACGUUUCUAUUUAGUAAACUUCAUUUAUAUCUAUUUCAAGAUUCUAUCUAGAGGUGACAUCAUGAUACUUGCCUCUCCCUCUCUUACUUCACUUAGUAUCAUCUCUUUAAUACUUUCCUGUGGCUGGAAACGGCAUACUUUCGUCUUAUUCAUGGCUGAGUAACACUGUAUUGUGUAUGGUACCCCAUUUUCUUUAUCCACUCAUCAGUCCUUCUACUGUUAGGCUGCUUCCGUAUCUUAGUGUACGUAGUGCUGCCAUGAUUGUUGGGGUGCAGGUGUCUUAAAAUUUUGGUUUUCUCUGAAUCUAUGCCCAGGUGUGAGAUUGCUGGGUCACAUGGCACUUCGUGUUUAGUUUUUCAAAGAACCUUGGCAUUGUUCUCCCUAGUGGAUGUAAGUUCCCACCAACAGUGUAGGAUUCACUUCUCUUCACACCAUUUCCAGCAUUCAUUGUUGUAGAUUUUUUGAGACGGCCAUUCUGACGGGUGUGAGGUGACACCUCAUUGUACUUUUGACUUACCUUUCUCUAAGAAUUAGUGUUGCCGAGUAUCUUUUCAUGUUUUAUGGCCUUUUAUGCCUUCUUUGGAGAAAUCUUUGACACAUUUUUUAAAUUGGGUUACUCUAUGGACGUGAGUCUGAGUGAGCUCUGGGAGUUGGUGAUGGACAGGGAGGCNNNNNNNNNNNNNNNNNNNNNNNNNNNNNNNCAAAGAGUCGGACUCGACUGAGCGACUGAACUGAACUGAACUGAACUGAAAGAAAAAAUAUAUUGACCUGGACUAGCUGUUCACGUGUUUUGGAGAUAAUUCCCUGUGGGUAUCUUUGCAAAUUUUUUUCCCAUUAGGAGGGUUGUCUUUUUCUUUCAUUUAUGAUCUUUCUGUGCCAAUGGUUUUAACGUUAAUUGGGUCCCACGUUUAUUGCAUUCAGAAUUUGCUAUUUUUAUCAAAGCAUGUUCUGCUUGUUUUCGAGUUUCAUGGCAUCCAUUUUUCCAUUUAGAUCUUUAAUCUAUUUGGAGUAUAUUUUUGUGUAUUGUGUUAUGACAUAGUCUAAUUUUAUUCUCAUUUUCCUCCUAGGAAGAACCUGCACACUAUCCUCCACAGUGAGUUGUAAGUCACUCAGUCGUGUCCAACUCUUUGCGACCCUAUUGAUUAUACAGUCCAUGGAAUUCUCCAGGCAGAAUAGAGUGUGUAGCCUUUCCCUUCUCCAGGGGAUUGUUCCAACCCAGGGAUCGAACCCAGGUCUCCCACAUUGCAGGNNNNNNNNNNNNNNNNNNNNNNNNNNNNNNNNNNNNNNNNNNNNNNNNNNNNNNNNNNNNNNNNNNNNNNNNNNNNNNNNNNNNNNNNNNNNNNNNNNNGAUCGAACCCAGGUCUCCCACAUUGCAGGCAGAUUCUUUACCAACUGAGUUAUCAGGGAAGUCCUCCACAGUAGCUGUUCCCAAUUUCCACUCCCAGCAUCAGUGUAGGAGGGUUCCCUUUACUUCUUCCCCUCUCCAACAUUUAUUGUUUGUAGCCAUUCUGACCCAUGUGAAGUGAUACUUUGUUGCAAUCUUGAGUUGUAUUUCUCUAAUAUUUAAUAACAUUGACAUCUUUUCAGGUGAUGUUUUUUAAAAAGAUGUGAGCUAAAUCUACCUCUUGACAUUGAUUCCUUGACCAUCUGCCUUGUUUUGAACUCUUUUCUGCUGACCCCCACUAGGAUAUUUCCCGCACAGGUGUUUUUUUACCACAGCUCCAAAGGCCUUAUAAGUAUUAAGUGCCCAUCAGCACAGGCUUGUUGUUUUGGAAAGUGCCCACAAGGUGGCAGCAUUUCUUCAUGUCCCUUUUCUCUUCUUGUAAUUUGUUAUUUUAUAUUGGAGUAGAGUUGAUUUCUGAUGUUGUCAGUUUUAGGUGUACAGAAACUUGAUUCAGUAAUCUAUAAACAUCUAUUCUUGUUCGGGUUUUUUUUCCCAUAUAGAUGAUUACAGUGUGUUCAGUAGAGUUUACAGGGCUAUUCUUUAGGCACUUUUUGAUCAUCUAUUUGAUAUAUACACACUAAUUCAUAUCAAAUAGAUGAUCAAAAAGGGCCUAAAGAAUAGCCCUGUGAACUCUACUGAACACACUGUAAUCAAUCGG